GGCCCGGCCCGCGCCCUCCCCGGCCCGCGCCCGGCGCGGUGGGUGGGCCCUCGGGCGCCGGCGGGGCCUGCGGGGAGCGGCGGGCGCAGGCCUUGGUGACUCCAACCAUGCAGGACUGCCCUCCCCAGAAGGACCACCCCAGGCCAAAGGGGGGCCUCCCAGCUUCUCUCCUCUGCUCCCCGUGACCUCCGACUGUGUCCCUGACACCUGAGUUGGUGGCAACUUAGGGAGGAGCUCUCUCAGAGGGCCAGGCUGCUUGGGUGAGGGCUCCCGCACCAUGCCGACCAAGGCCACGUGCCUGCGUCACACAGAGGCUCCUGGGCAGCUGGAAGCCAGAAUGCUCAAGGGACGGCUUCCCGGAGCAAACAAAGACCUCCUCCCAAGCCCUGGGGCCCUGCCCACUCCCCACUGCCAGGACCCUGAGAAGAACCCCGUGCCUUCUUUCAGCGAUCCGGCAAAAAUCAGCAGUGAGGACCCCCAAGCCCGGGCAAAACCCACCACCCCUCAGCCCCCCACGAGGCCCAGGCUAGAGCGGACCCUGUCCCUAGAUGAUAAGGGCUGGAGAAGGAGGCGUUUUCCACGGAGCCAGGAGGACCUGGCCACCCAGGGUGGGGCCAGCCCCUACAAGGGCUCCCAGCAGGACAUGGCCCCCCAGGCCCCGGCCCACAGUUGCCCCCCACCCUGCCUGAGCACAUCUUUGCAGGAGAUCCCCAAGCCCCGCAGGGCUGUGGGCAGCGAGAGUGGGAGCCCCUCUUCAUGGGGUAACUGUCUCUCUGGAAUGAUCAGCACCUCCCUGGAGUUGCUGCACAGGGAGGCUGCCCCAGCUGGGAGCUCCCCGAGGCUGGCCAUCCUGUGUCCCCCUCGCCCGCCACCCACCCCGGAUCUGAACGUGGCCUCCAACUCCCCAAGGAUGGCAAACAAGGUUGACUCCGAGCAUGCCGACCACAAGCACCACGCACAGCCCAGGCUAGUACGGGCCCACAGCAGCCUGGGCCCCAGCCGGCCACGGAGCCCCCUGGCCUGUGACACCCACUCCCUUCAUUCAGCCAAGUCUUCCUUCAGCCUCCUGGCGCCCAUCCGCACCAAGGACGUCCGGAGCAGGAGCUACCUGGAGGGGAGUCUCCUGGCCAGUGGGGCCCUGCUAGGGGCAGAUGAGCUGGCCCAGUACUUCCCAGACCGGCACAUGGCCCUCUUUGUGGCCACCUGGAACAUGCAGGGCCAGAAGGAGCUCCCGCCAAGCCUGGAUGAGUUCCUGCUGCCCACCGAGGCCGACUACACCCAGGACUUGUAUGUCAUUGGGGUGCAGGAGGGCUGCUCUGACAGGCGGGAGUGGGAGACACGCCUUCAGGAGACACUGGGCCCCCGCUACGUGCUGCUGUCCUCGGCAGCCCAUGGGGUUCUGUACGUGUCCUUGUUCAUCCGCAGGGACCUCAUCUGGUUCUGCUCAGAGGUGGAGUGCUCCACAGUGACGACGCGCAUCGUGUCCCAGAUAAAGACCAAGGGGGCCCUGGGCGUCAGCUUCACCUUCUUCGGCACCUCCUUCCUCUUCAUCACGUCCCACUUCACCUCUGGUGAUGGGAAGGUGGCCGAGCGGCUGCUGGACUACACCAGAACCAUCCAAGCCCUGGCUCUGCCUAGGAACGUACCAGACACCAACCCCUACCGUUCCAGUGCAGCGGAUGUCACCACCCGGUUCGAUGAGGUGUUCUGGUUUGGAGACUUUAACUUCCGCCUGAGUGGUGGACGCACGGCUGUGGAGGCCAUCCUGAAGCAGGGCCUGGAUGUGGAUGUGCCGGUACUGCUGCAGCAUGACCAGCUCAUCCAGGAGAUGAGGAAAGGGUCCAUCUUCAAGGGCUUCCAGGAACCGGACAUCCACUUCCUCCCAUCAUACAAGUUUGACAUUGGGAAGGACACCUAUGACAGCACCUCCAAACAGAGGACCCCCUCCUACACGGACCGGGUUUUGUACAGAAGCCGCCAUAAGGGCGACAUCUGUCCUGUGAAGUACUCUUCCUGCCCUGGGAUUAAGACAUCUGACCACCGCCCUGUCUAUGGCCUUUUCCGGGUGAAAGUGAGGCCUGGCCGAGAUAACAUUCCACUAGCUGCUGGCAAGUUUGACCGAGAACUGUACUUGAUAGGAAUUAAAAGACGGAUUUCAAAAGAAAUUCAGAAGCAGCAAGCAAUAAAGAAUCCGAUCCCCAGUGCCAUCUGCACCAUUUCCUGAAGUUGUUAGAGGAGGACCUUUGACCUAGAGCGGCUGGAGAAGACUGCAGUGUGUGCUCCUGACACCUGUCAUUCAUUCUAGGGUCCUGAUGCACUGCUACUAGGGCUGCCCUACUUUCUCACCAAGAAACCCCCAGGCCAGACUGUGCAUCCCGGGAAGAAAGCUGCCUUCACUUACUUGGGCAAGCCUGUACUUAAGACUUGUCCCCACAGGCACCUGGGGGGCUUCUCAGGGCCAUGGAACACAAAGGCAGGAAACUGACUCGGCUCGCAACUGCUGACAGUCUUGUCCCAGUCCCUGCUGAGCAUUCCUCCUGCAGGCCAGAGGCAACGCAAGGGGAAGACUCGGGUGGACUGGGCUGAAGCCACAAGCAAUCCCAGCGAACACUAAGACUUCUAUUAAUAUCAGCUUCCAAAAUAUGGGAUAUAAACUUUAAAGCAACGCACCAAUGUUUCUGAUAAAGCGGGAGAGCGCCCACCAUUCCAC